rnacentral:rRNA from 1 species
GACGAACGCUGGCGGCGUGCUUAACACAUGCAAGUCGAACGGAAAGGCCCUGCUUGCAGGGUACUCGAGUGGCGAACGGGUGAGUAACACGCGGGUGAACUGCCCUCCACUUCGGGAUAUACCUGGGAAACUGGGUCUAAUACCGGAUAGGAGACAUUUUGAGCGGGAUGGUUGGAAAGUUUUUUGCGUUUAGGAUGAGUUCGCGGGCUAUCAGCUUGUUGGUGGGGUAAGGGGCUACCUACGCGGCGGCGGGUAGCAGGCCAUGGGGGGUGGACAGCGAACAUGGGGCUUGGGGAAGGCCCAAGCGCCUAAGGGGAGCAAGAGUGGGGAAGUUUGCACAAUGGGCGCGAAGCGUGUGCAGCGACCCCGCGGGGCGGAAGGCCGCCUUCGGGUUGGAAAAUCCUUUCGCUAGGGACGAAGCUUUUUGUGACGGUACCUAGUAAAGAAGCACCGGCUAACUACGUG